GCACUCUGGGGUGACAGACUGACUCAACAAAAUGGUUUCACACACAGACUCAGCUUAAAAGAGCUUUUACUGUACACACUACUGGUGUGUGUGUGUGUGUGUGUGAGAGAGAGAGAGAGAGAGAGAGAGAGAGAGAAAACUGAUCCAAGACACAGAUGGAGGAGCAUAAGAAAGUUUGUUUUAACUGCGACCUUUUCCUGAACCAGGAGAGCAACCCACCGGUCAGUCACCUACGCUAUGAGAAGCUCACGUUUAACAACAAGAAACACAAGUUCCACCACAAAGUCGUCAAAACUGGAGGGGUCAUGGUUGUACCUGAAGGAACUGAAAUGAUGCCCAGAGCUGGUGUGGAUUAUUCCAUGCUGUCUACGACCGCAUUAUCUGCCGUCUCAGACCACAAAAAGAUCAAAUCGCACCAGGCUAUGAAGGAGCCAAAUAAAGACAGAGCAGGUGGGGUGGGAAAAGGCCACAAACACUACAAACCAAACAGAGAGCACAGAGAGCACAAAAACUCUGAGAGCAAGACCACUUCCAGAGAGAGAGAGCAUGUUGGAGGGAAGUCCACACUGGAGCUGUCAUCUUCCUCCUCCUCGAGGAAAAGCACAGAGAACCGGGGGAAGGACGAGGGCAAAAACAUGGCCAAAGUGGCCUUUAAAGAACCCAAAAACACCACCAGAGAGUCCAAACGGCCUUCAUCCACUACCAAGUCGUCGAAUCUGAGCACCAAAAAACUGAAGAGCUUGAAGGGAUGUAAAGAAGGAGGCUCCAUCACCAUCUCCUCCCGGAUCUCCUCAACCUCUGCUGCGCCUCCCUCCACCUACCUGGAGAAGAAAGGGACGAAAGAAAAAGGCCACUGGGUAAAAAGGAGACAUGAGACUCUGGUAGUGAAGAGACGGACAGAUUCAGAUUGUAAUUCAGAAGACGAGACUUUGUCUAGAUCUGUGCAGUCAGUCCAGUCCACUUCAUCCAGUUCCUGCUCCACUUCUGGCUCUGACUCCGAGUUUGAGCCCUUGCAGAUGCAAAGCCAAGGACCUUUACACGCCAUGGUGGAACAUCUGCCUUCAGAGCGCUCUGAUGAUGACAGAAGCUCAGAGGUGGAGACGGGCAUGAAGGCCACACCCACAGUCCAGGACUCAUGCUUGUUCAUGGACAGUGACAGUGAUGAUGUUGAAGAGUCUCAUCCACACAGCCAGGAGGUGCUGUCACCCAUACCCAAACUCAGUACAAAGAACCUUAAGAUGCUGGAGAAGAAGAACCCAGAUUCCUGCAAAAGAGAAAAGGUUCUCAAGGGGGACAAGGCUUACACAGAGGAGCUGGUGGACCUCCAUCGCAGACUGAUGGCUCUGAGAGAGAGGAACGUCUUACAACAGAUAGUAAACCUUAUUGAAAAGACGGGACACUUCAACGUCACCAAAACUACGUUUGACUUCGACCUUUUCUCGCUGGAUGAAUCCACUGUGCGUAAACUACAGAGCUACCUGCAGGCCAAGAGGACAUGACGAAAGGAAAUGCCUCGUCUGUUUUAAGCUCAGUGAAAACUCCUGCAUGUACACAGAGCCUGAAUACUGCACACUAAUGGACACAAUGAACAUGGACAUGGUUUGAAGGCGAUAAAAAUCUUCUCUGCUCUUUGGUUCUGAGGGUGAAAUCAUCUGAACUGCUGCAGCUGUGGGAACACAGAGACAAAAUGAAGAUGUAAAAAAUGACAUGGAAACAGAUCUGGUUUCAGACAGAGGCAUCUAUAAUAUCACCUUUUCAAUCUGAGAGAGAUUUCCUCACUCCAUCAAAUGAGAGAUGUUGAUUGACAGUGAUGCUGGGUGAGACCUCACAUCCAGGAGGAACACAGAGAGACGGGAAACUCUACAGAGAGGAAACACAUAAUAAAGAGGAAGAAAAGUGUUCAAGAGGAAUGAAUGAAUCUCAGACUGAAUCAGACACAAAGACACACUUGUGAUCUCAGACAGGAACAUUUAUUGUUGCUGUAAUGAGCUUUUAGGAGGAAACUUUGUGAGGAACAGCGGCCUCUGUAGAUCAGACAGUGAGUGUUACCUGGAGG